UACAAUGUGUUUGUCUGAAGGUAAUUUCUUACAAGAGAGUCAAAACAUUUUUAAAAAUUAAAAAAGUUUAUAAAGUAAAGAAGUUAUAGUAAGCUAAGGUUAAUUUAUUACCAAAGAAAAAAUUCAAAUAAAUUUAGUGUAGCUAAGCAUACAGUACAUAUAAAGUAGUAUACAGUACUGUCCUAGCCUUCACAUUCACUUGCUGACUCACCCGGAAUAGCUUCCAGUCUUGCAAGCUCCAUUCAUGACCGCAGUGCUGAGAAGCAGGAGCCCCUGAGCUGGAGACGCAGGAAUCCUGAGCCCUGGGAGGCCCAGAUCGAAGGGAGGCAGUCAGCUCAUGGAGCCGGGGAAUGUUCUGCUGGAACCCCCCCCCCGCACGAGGGUAUCCGGUAUGUUUCUGGGCACCAGCGACCCCUCCACACCUCACCAAACUGGAUCCCCAGCCCCGCGGGACCCGAUUCCGGCCUACACCCUCCAAUCCGGAACCAAAUCAGAAGAGCAGUCCCGAGUGCCCGCCUCACGGUCUGAAGCACCUGGUCCUACACCUGGACCCGAACACGAGGUCGGCUCAAGGAAGCACUGAGGUCAGGACAGUCAGGCAGUCAGGAUCCUGCGCCGCUUGUCGCAUGCAGUCUCCUUCCCCGAACCGCCGCCUGCACGGCCUCCACUGUCUUCCUAUUGGGCUGCAGCCUGAGAGGCCUGACAAUCGCGGCCCCCAAAGCUGGAACGCGAAAGCGCAUGCGCCAGGCGCGAUCUCCAGGCGCUAGCGCUGAGGCGGGGGCCGGGGGGAGCUCACGUCACAGUGACCGCCGCCGUUGCCGGGGGACUGGCCCCAGCGGCUUGGCGGGGCAGGAGCCGUCUGUGGCAGUGCGUCCGCUCUCCGCCGGAUAGUCGCCAUGGUCCCCGCGAUCCUAGUAGUCGGGCAGGGCCGAACCUGGCUGAAGAAACCUCAAGCGGAGAUUCAAGGAAGCACCACGUGAUCCCUAAGGAUCCCCAGGAUGCGUCGGGCAUGCCUAGAUGGUGUGGGGGUGUGUCUCCUUGACAGCUGUCCCGCGGGGAUUUCGAGGUACGGCCUGUGUUUCCCAGGGCUGUUCUCUUCCCGGAAGGGCUUCCUGGCAGGGAGCAGAACCCCGCAGCCUCAGGAGCUGCUUGGCUGUGUGUGUUUCUGCGCGAGUGUUGGAUGUCUCUGUGUGUGUCUGUGUGUGUGUGCGUGUGAGUGUGUGUGGUGUCGCGUUAAAGGAAUGUGGCUCGAGCAGUGGAGCGCGGUUUCUCUGUAGUGCGCCUACUCUCUGAUGCGCCCCUCUCUUUGGCCGGGCUUGGGUUGCGGGGCCAAGCGUUCUUUGUUUUGCUCUUGGUUCCUAAAGCCUCGGUGAAGUGCGGGGGCUGGCUGAGACCCGCAGGCGUCCAAAUCACCUCCCCAUCCCAAGGGGGCCACUCUUCCAGAAAGAAGACGGGCACACCACACCCAAGAACAAAUUCCUCCGGGGGUCCAUGGUCCUGUGGUGCACCCAGGGCUGAACGGACCCUAGCCGUCCUGUCCUCAGGACCCCCCUUGAACCCGCUUCUAAUUCGGUGACUGGCGGAACCGAAGCUUCAGGACGUGAGGCGGGCACUCCUUCAUCCUCUUCGGAUUUCAUUCUGGAUUAAAGCAUGUGUGCAGAAAAAAGGUCAGAUGGGGGUGAGGAUACAAUCCGCUGAGCUGUGGAGGGGGUCUGGCACCUUCACCCGCAGAACAGGUGCAGAAAGAUGUUAAAGAAACUGCUUCCAACACCAUCCCCUUUUCCUCUUCAGUGUACAACCUUGUCCACGCUAUGGCGCUGUGCUGGCGACAGAAGACACGAACUUUCAGAGGUCCUUUAGACCGCAAACUGUGGCCUUUCUUGCCAGGUCCCCUGUUGGACCCUGGUUCCCCGAGCCACAAGGGAGUGGGAUGGAUUGAUCCUGCCUGGGCUGCGGCCUCUACUGUGUCCUCCCUCUUUUCUUGCUUUCCCUGAUUCUCGUGGGCCCAGGUUUUCCUUGGUCUGGCUCACAGUCCUCCAGAACGUCCUCCACAGCAAACGUUUCCCAGUUCGUCCAGGACCGCCUUGGCGGGGAUGUACGUGAUGAGUGUUUCUUUCUCAACACUCGCAUUUCUUAAUGACUGGAUAGCUGUGAUGCUCCUGGAACCGUGGGUGCCCGUAGCUUCUGCCAACAAGGAAACUCUUGGUCUCCCUGUUGCAUCAGUUGGCUGCAUGAUUCACAUAGAAUGAGAGGUAGCCAGCCGUAGCUGGUCUUUGCCUUCUAAUCAAGGCUAUGUUUCAUUUCAUCUGCUGGUGUUUUUUCAUUGUUGAGGGGUCUUCCAUUGCUCUGUUCCUGGCUGGGACUGCCUCUCAGCACUGCACCUUUUGGUUGCCACGGAU